rnacentral:lncRNA from 1 species
GGAGCCGUGCCUGCAAAACUUGAUGACAUCUGUCUCAGCCAUCAUGCCUCAGAUCUCAGGACCAAGUGGAACCCUGUCAGCAUUGUCUACCAGUAAGAUAACCUCCAUUUAUAGGCUUGCACCAAUCUGUUUUAUCCUCGUUAGUAAGCAGAUCCUAAGGACUGCUACGUGGGAAUCUCCAUCAUCAGCCACUACUCAGUAACAAAGGAAGAAAGCCUCUGAAAUAUUCAGCUUUAAAUAGCUUCUAAGUGUAGAUGACUCACAAGCCUAGAACUCGAGCCCAGGUCUCUUCUGUGCUUCAGAUUUCGAUUCCAAGCACACGUGACAGAUUCAUCUGGGAUGUGGAAGCACUCUGCCCAUAUCAGGCCCAUACUCAUUUCUGGC